UCUGUGGAAGAAUAGUGAAUAGAAGAGAGAAAUCACUCAAUAUGUGGAAUGACUGAUAUGGUUUGGCUGUGUUCCCACUCAAAUCUCAUCUUGAAUUGUAGUUCCAAUAAUCCCCACGUGUCAUGGGAGGAACCCAGUGGGAGGUACUUGAAUCAUUGCGGUGGUUUCCCCUAUGCUAUUCUCAUGAGAGUGAAUAAAUUCUCACAUAAUCUGAUAGUUUUAUAAAGGAGCUUCCCCCUUCACUCAGCUCUCAUUCUUCUCCUUCCUGC
rnacentral:lncRNA from 1 species